rnacentral:rRNA from 1 species
UACGGGGGGUGCGAGCGUUAAUCGGAAUUACUGGGCGUAAAGGGUGCGUAGGUGGUUUGAUAAGUUAGACUGUGAAAUACCUGGGCCUAACCUGGGAAUGUCAGCUAAGACUGUUGGACUCGAGUAUGGGAGAGGGUAGUGGAAUUUCCGGUGUAGCGGUGAAAUGCGUAGAGAUCGGAAGGAGCACCGGUGGCGAAGGCGGCUACCUGGCCUGAUACUGACACUGAGGCACGAAAGCGUGGGGAGCAAACAGG